UACAAUCCGACUUCUACGUAUAAAAGCUGCCUCCUCUCUUUUCUCAGGCCUCUCCCUCAUUUUUCACUGAAUCCUUCUCAGUUUGAGAGAAUAAUCAAUGGGUGAAGAAGCUAAGGAACAAGCUCCAGCUGAAGUUAAACCAGAGGCAGAGGAGAAGAAGGAGGAAAAAGCAGAGGAGAAGAAAGAAGAAAAACCAGAAGAGCAGAAGGAGGAACCUAAGCCACCAUUACCAUUUGUCUUGUUUGUAGAUUUGCAUUGUGUGGGAUGUGCCAAGAAGA